rnacentral:piRNA from 1 species
UAACACUAAACCAAUGUACCACGCGCGA